AACAAACGCUGGCGGCGUGCCUAAUACAUGCAAGUCGAACGGGGAAAGCUUUCGGGUGAGUACUAGUGGCGCACGGGUGAGUAACGCGUGGAUAAUCUGCCUUAGAGUGGGGGAUAACUAGUCGAAAGAUUAGCUAAUACCGCAUAAGACCACAAGAACUGCGGUUCAAGAGGUCAAAGGUUUUUCGCUCUAAGAUGAGUCCGCGUAAGAUUAGCUAGUUGGUGAGGUAACGGCUCACCACGGCAACGAUCUUUAACUGGUCUGAGAGGAUGAUCAGUCACACUGGAACUGAGACACGGUCCGGACUCCUACGGGAGGCAGCAGUAGGGAAUAGUGCACAAGGGAGGAAACUCUGAUGCAGCGACGCCGCGCGAGUGAUGAAGGCCUUCGGGUCGUAAAGCUCUGUCGCAGGGGAAUAACACAAUGAAUGUACCCUGUAAGAAAGGAUCGGCUAACUUCGUGCCAGCCGCCGCUGUAAUAC
rnacentral:rRNA from 1 species